AUGGCCGCUCGUGUUAGCGGGCUCGCGGUGGGCUUCCUCUGCCUGCUUGCAAUGUUGUCGCCGUCCGCGCAGCAAUCCCCGCCCCCAGACUCCCCAGAUUUAAAGUCGUCAAUAGACACAGACACCCCACCUCUCCCUGACAUACGCCCGCCCCCGAGCUCCCCGCGCGGCUACGAGUUGGACGUGCCCCCCAGGAACGUCACGUGCAAGGAUACCGACGGUAAGCGGCCGGGGUGCACGGGAACUUGCCCUCGCCGCUGCCCCCAGUGCAUCGUCCUCUGCCCCGACUGCAAGACAUUAUGCCAUGACGAGGUACAGAUGCCAAGGCCCGUGCCGCCACCUGCCAUGUUGGUGUUCGGAGAUGGGCAGUUCGACAACGGUAACAACGGAUACUUGGAGCCCCCUAACUACCCCUACUCUGGCACCGGCAGGCUUAGCAACGGGGCCAACCUUGCCGAUGCCAUUGCAUACACUAUCGGAUUCCCGCAAAGUCCUCUACCCUUCAUGUCGUUGCGCGGCCGGAUCAGCAUGUGGGGCGCCAACUACGCUUCCGUGGGCGCUGGGAUUCGGAACUCCACGAACGGAGAGCGGAGCAUCCCUCUUUCGCAGCAGCUGGAGGACUUCAGGACGACGAGGGCCCUUAUGGGGAUAAUGCUAGGGGGUGAAGCCAAGCUGCGCGCGUACCUGUCCAAGUCCAUCUUCCUCCUCGGCAUCGGCAGUCAGGACCUCGACCCAAGAUGGAACAUACACCUCGCAAAUUCGACCGAGAUCCAGAGCCUCGUUGCCCUAUACGGGGAGGCCGUCACGUCCCUCUACGACAUGGGCGCUAGGAAGCUGGCCAUCGUCAACGUUGGGCUCAUCGGCUGUGCGCCCCAGAUCUUUGACUACAGGUACGGUUGCGACGAGAGCCUGAACGACCGCGCCGCCGCGUUCAACGCCGCCCUCAAGCCCCUCAUGGCUGGCCUUGCGUCAAAGAAGAAGGGCCUUUUCUACUCCAUCGGCGACUUUCAUAGCUUCACCACCACCGUCUUCGCCGACCCGUCAGCUUAUUGGAUGGUGAACAUCCGGGACUCGUGUAGCUUCACGGACCACCCAGAGAGGACGUGCUCUCCCCAGGAAGAGCACUGGUUCUGGGAUUCAGAGUUCAUGACGGAUCAGGCAUGUAGGCUGACGGCCACUGCAUUUUACUAUGGACCGCCUCAGUUUACCGCCCCCAUGACCUUCAAGGCACUGCUGGAGAAAUAA
rnacentral:rRNA from 1 species